UGGGGGAUAUUGCACAAUGGGCGAAAGCCUGAUGCAGCGACGCCGCGUGGGGGAUGAAGGCCUUCGGGUUGUAAACUUCUUUUUCUCUGAACAAGGCAUGCUAAUGGGUGUGUUGAGUGUAGGGGUUGAUUAGCGCCGGCUAACUACGUGCCAGCAGCCGCGGUAAUACGUAGGGCGCGAGCGUUGUCCGGAAUUAUUGGGCGUAAAGGGCUUGUAGGUGGCUGGUUGCGUCUGUCGUGAAAGCUCAUGGCUUAACUGUGGGUUUGCGGUGGGUACGGGCUGGCUUGAGUGCAGUAGGGGAGGCUGGAAUUCCUGGUGUAGCGGUGGAAUGCGCAGAUAUCAGGAGGAAUACCGGUGGCGAAGGCGGGUCUCUGGGCUGUUACUGACACUGAGGAGCGAAAGCAUGGGGAGCGAACAGG
rnacentral:rRNA from 1 species